GUGGAUCCCUCGGCUUGUGGGUCGAUGAAGAACGGAGCAAACUCCGUGUUGUCGUGUGAACUGCAGGACACAUGAACAUCGACACUUUGAACGCAAAUGGCGGCCCUCG
rnacentral:rRNA from 1 species